rnacentral:rRNA from 1 species
ACAAGCGGUGGAGUAUGUGGUUUAAUUCGAUGCAACGCGAAGAACCUUACCUGGUCUUGACAUCCCGGAGACCCUUCGGAACUAGGGGUGCUUCCAUCUGGAAGAAUCUGGAGACAGGUGCUGCAUGGCUGUCGUCAGCUCGUGUCGUGAGAUGUUGGGUUAAGUCCCGCAACGAGCGCAACCCUUGCCUUUAGUUGCCAGCAGUUCGGCUGGGCACUCUAAAGGGACUGCCGGUGUUAAACCGGAGGAAGGUGGGGAUGACGUCAAGUCCUCAUGGCCUUUAUGACCAGGGCUACACACGUACUACAAUGGCCGAUACAAAGGGCAGCGACACUGCGAGGUGAAGCCAAUCCCGUAAAAUCGGUCUCAGUCCGGAUUGGAGUCUGCAACUCGACUCCAUGAAGUUGGAAUCGCUAGUAAUCGUGGAUCAGCAUGCCACGGUGAAUACGUUCCCGGGCCUU